ensembl:lncRNA
GAAAGAGGGAGAAGAUGCCCAUGUGAGGCCUUUAGGAAAAGGCCCAAAGUCCAGAAGUUUGCAUUUGAAACAUGUGAUUUGAGUUGUUUCUUGCAAGGGGGUUUCAUCAGCUCCCAUCAGUCCACAGAGUCCACCAGAAGUGCCAAGGUUUCCAGAGAGACUGGGAAUGGUCCUGGCAAUGUGGCUGGCAUGCUGAGAGGGUAUUUUGGAAAGUGGUGCACACCAAAGACAUUUCAGUGUACCCCCAUGAAGUAGGAAAGAAAGAGUUUUUUUUUUUUUUUUUUUUUUUUUCCCCAGCAUCCGGCUGAGUCACCAGCUGAAUUCUAGGCCUUUUUUGUGAUUCCUCAGUCUGGGAGGGAGGUGGGACAGAUCUAAAGACUGGGAGUUAGAAGACCUUGGAUCGAAUCCUCAGCCUGCCUUCAGUUCUGAGUGCCUUAGUUUCCCCCUCUGCAAAAUGGGAAUGGUGAUGACAUUUUAAGGCUCAAGUGAGGUGGCAUCAUUGAAAGUUUUGUUCAGGCUACAUUCUAAGUUUGGCAAUGGGGGACACUGAGGUCCACAGAAAGGAAGGCAUAACAACAAUAAGACCGUUAAUAAUAUAGAAUGCUAUCUUCCAGCUGCUGUGCCAAAGGUUUUACUGCAUCAAGUAAAGUCUGGGAAGGCAGGAGUUUUUUGCAUCUUGUUCCCAGUCACCCUCUCCAUGCCUAGUACAGAGCUCUACCACACGCCUGCAGUCCCAUCUCAGUCUGAUCUUCGUUGCCAAGUGUCAGCCAAACUCCAGCUAGACCGUAGGGAGAGACUGCCUGCCCCCAGAGGUGAUCCUGGACCACCUCCCUAGAUCCUCACCAGCAUUCCUUACAUCCUUCACUCCAAGCUGAGCCUCUUGUGGGCAUCCAAAGCCAGACUUGGACGCCUAGCUGUGAGUCUUCUUAGAGUCUUGGGACCACAGCCAAGGACCAAGGACCAAGGAGGGACCUCAGGGGUCAGGAGGCUACUUUCAGCCACUCUGCCCUCAAAUCAGGGAUUCAUUUGGAGGGUAACACUUUACUUGUGGGUGCAGAUCCAACUCUGCUCCUAUUGUGCUAUGUGACUUUGGGCAAAUUGUAUAACCUCUCUGGGUCUUUCCUUGUCUGUCACGUUAUGCCUGAUUAUGAAGUUCCAAUGAGACGGCACAUGCCGUGUCCCGAGAGGUUUAGACUAAGGCUGAGGCUGGGAUUGCUUCCUUUCCUUUUUGUGAUCUUCACAUAAUCCUACAUGUUGCAUAAUGGCUGUGUAUUAUUUAUUCAUGAGUAAGCCAUGUGAAAAAGCACAAGGGCAGAGUCUAAAAAGAGGAAGAGAG